rnacentral:rRNA from 1 species
CCUACGGGAGGCAGCAGUGAGGAAUCUUGGUCAAUGGACGAGAGUCUGACCCAGCCAAGUAGCGUGAAGGAUGAAUGCCCUCUGGGUUGUAAACUUCUUUUAUAUGGGAAUAAAAUGUUCCACGUGUGGGAUUUUGUAUGUACCAUAUGAAUAAGGAUCGGCUAACUCCGUGCCAGCAGACGAGGUAAUACGGAGGAUCCGAGCGUUAUCCGGAUUUAUUGGGUUUAACGGGAGCGUAGGUGGAUUGUUAAGUUAGUUGUGAAAGUUUGCGGCUCAACCGUAAAAUUGCAGUUGAAACUGGGAGUCUUGAGUGCAGUAGAGGUGGGCGGAAUUCGUGGUGUAGCGGUGAAAUGCUUAGAUAUCACGAAGAACUCCGAUUGCGAAGGCAGCUCACUGGACUGCAACUGACACUGAGGCUCGAAAGUGUGGGUAUCAAACAGGAUUAGAUACCCCAGUAGUC